ACGGGUGAGUAACACGUAUGCAAUCCACCUGUAACAGGGGGAGUAACCCGGAGAAAUCCGGACUAAUACCCCAUAAUAUGGGCGCUCCGCAUGGAGAGUCCAUUAAAGAGAGCAAUCUUGGUUACAGACGAGCAUGCGCUCCAUUAGCCAGUUGGCGGGGUAACGGCCCACCAAGCGACGAUGGAUAGGGGUUCUGAGAGGAAGGUCCCCCACAUUGGAACUGAGACACGGUCCAA
rnacentral:rRNA from 1 species